GAGCGUCGUCGUCAGAGCCGCUGUUUUGGAACUUGAGAACCGCCCGUGUCCAGCGUCCGCUACUACCUACCGGCUGAACCGAGCUACUCAAUCUGAACCUGCGGCACUCCUCAGUUGGCUGGCAGAUGUAUCUCUCACUCUCUUACAGUCAUGUGUUUGGGGAGUGUUUUUCUCUGUAUAUCCAAAAGUUUUUACUAGG